UACGGGGGGGGUAAGCGUUGUUCGGAAUUACUGGGCGUAAAGGGCGCGUAGGCGGUCCUGAUCGUCGGAUGUGAAAGGCCUGGGCUCAACCUGGGAACUGCAUCCGAUACGGCGGGACUGGAGUGUGGGAGAGGUUGGUGGAAUUCCCAGUGUAGAGGUGAAAUUCAUAGAUAUUGGGAAGAACACCGGUGGCGAAGGCGGCCAACUGGACCACAACUGACGCUGAGGCGCGAAAGCGUGGGGAGCAAACAGG
rnacentral:rRNA from 1 species